UAUUAUAUGUGAUAACAUCAAGCUUCUACAUGCCACAAGAUUCUCAAAAGUUGUGGUGUUAUCAUGCUACACAAUCACUGCAAGCCACAAAUCUUUGAGGUCCUAAAAACAUUAUUUAUCGAAUCAUUUAUUUCUUUUUGUAUCCAUAUAUCCACUUCUUUUUCCUUGCCAGCCUUGUUAUCAGUGUCGAGUUUCAAAUUUUGAAGGUCCUUGGUUAUCUUGCUCUCUUGAUAUUUUUGAUUUUUGGCAGGCAAGCCUCCAUGAGUGGGCUUGCCGGAGUCCAAACGAUUUCCAUCCAAACCACCUCCUGCUCUGUCCUUUGAUACUUGGCAAAUCUCAUGGGAUUGGCC
rnacentral:lncRNA from 1 species